AAGGGCAAGGAAAGAACCUAUUUUUGAUUGAUGACACUCCUAUGAAGGCAAGUGUGUGCCACAUCACAAGGGAUUUCUAAUGAUAUGUUGGAGGAAGGUGGGGAUGACAUCAAGUCUACGUGGCCUUUAUGGGUUGGGCCACACAUGUGCUACAAUGAAAAUGAAAAUGGGAAGAAAGGUUGUAAGGUGGAGUGAAUCCAAAAAGAUUGCCUUAGUUCGGUUUGUUCUCUAUAACUCUAGAACAUGAAAUCAAAAUCACUAGUAAUUGCAGAUUAACGUGUUGUAGUGAAUAUGUACCUAGACAUUGAACA
rnacentral:ncRNA from 1 species